CUGACAUUGCUUUACAGCAAAGGCAAUAUUGUUUAUGGCAUACAGUCUACAUACAUAGUGAGGGUGUUAAAAUUGUAAUAGGAAUUAAAGUUUUGCUAGGUAUCUUUCUGUUUUGCUCUCUUCCUCUGAGGUAAAUUGUUAAUGAGACUAUUACAAUUUAAGAAUCUGUUGUUAAGCCAGAGAAUGACAGCCAUGCAAAUGCUAGAGGCAAAGUUACAUGUAUAAUUUUGACUUGCUACAAGGCUUUAAAUAGCAAUCAGUCUGGGGUGCAUAUGAGGAGAGAUGUAGGUUUAAGUAACCUUACAAGAAAGUGAUCUUACUAUUGUCUAGAACAUCUCUCUAAUAGAGAGAGGGAGAAGGAAGGGGCAGGCAGACGUAUAUAGCAAUGACAAAGACAAAAUCUUCUUGUGGUGUGCAGUGAGAGGAAGCAAACAAACUUAGAGACUAGGAAGAACUUCUUCAUUGUGAGUUGGAUAAAUGCUGUCACAGGUUGCCUAGAAAGGAUCUGGAAUCUCCAUCCUAGCAGAUAUUAAAAAUGGGGCUGGUCAUAGCCCUGAGCAAUCUGAUCUCACUUGGUCAUGCUUUGAGCAAGUGGUUGGGCUACAGAUCUCCAGAGGUGUUUGCAAACUUACUGUUUCUACUCUUCAAGUAGAUGACCAAGACUGUGAAGCACAAGGUAGCAUGAUUUUGCCCCUUUUGGCAGUUGAGUCUAUCUUUGUACAAGCAAAAGUACAAUAUGGAGAAGUUUGCAUAGGUAGAAAAAAAUAAGGGGACCUCUUGCUUCUGGGAGUUUUUAGACCUUUGAAACUGGAGUUCAGAAUAAGGUUAUCUACUGCUUUGGGAUGCAGAAGCUUUAUUCCAUCCAUACUUCUUGUAUCCGUGUAGUCUGCUGCUCCAUGGCCACUGCAUCAGGUGAUGCUGUCUCUGAAUGCUAAUAGCCCUAUUUAAUUAUUUAAAGUUAUUGUUGCUGGGUUCUUUGUGUUGGGUACAACAAAGAGGAUGAACUUUGUGAUGGUAAUUAAUAUAUGUGCACUAUCCAAAAGACUCAUAGUCAGGUCAAAGCAUCAUAAGAGCUGCCCCAGUUUGUACUAACUGAUAAAUACUUUCUGAGUGUCCAUAACUGAAUCCACUUAAGACUGUUAAUCUUCUUAUGUACUCUUUCCUACCUCCAUAGCAGAGAGUGUGUGCUGGAAACCAGCUCUGCCAGCGUUACAGCUACUUCAGGACUGCCUUCUGGAUGUAUGUCGGCAACACAAAAUAAAAAGUGUAAAGAUACUAUUGACA
rnacentral:lncRNA from 1 species